rnacentral:rRNA from 1 species
UACGUAGGGUCCGAGCGUUGUCCGGAAUUAUUGGGCGUAAAGAGCUUGUAGGCGGUUUGUCGCGUCUGCUGUGAAAAUCCGGGGCUCAACCCCGGACUUGCAGUGGGUACGGGCAGACUAGAGUGUGGUAGGGGAGACUGGAAUUCCUGGUGUAGCGGUGGAAUGCGCAGAUAUCAGGAGGAACACCAGCGGCGAAGGCGGCGCUCUGGGCCGGAACUGACGCUGAGGAGCGAAAGCGUGGGUAGCAAACGGG